CUACGGAGGGUCCAAGCGUUAUCCGGAUUCAUUGGGUUUAAAGGGUCCGCAGGCGGGAAAAUAAGUCAGUGGUGAAAGCCUACAGCUCAACUGUAGAACUGCCAUUGAUACUGUUUUUCUUGAGUAUAGAUGAAGUGGGCGGAAUAUAUCAUGUAGCGGUGAAAUGCAUAGAUAUGAUAUAGAACACCGAUUGCGAAGGCAGCUCACUAGACUAUUACUGACGCUCAGGGACGAAAGCGUGGGGAGCGAACAGGAUUAGAAACCCUAGUAGUCC
rnacentral:rRNA from 1 species